AAAGGACUGAAGACUUUUCCACAUAAGUGGAAACUUCACUGAAGUUAGGAGAGCUUUGGUAUGAAUUCUUCCUGAAUGACUAAUCAUAUUUUAUCAUUUCAUUAGACUCCACGAGGAAGCAAAAAUGUCAAGAGAUGCUAAUGAGGCCACUUCUACUUUGCACUGUGACCCUGGCACGGCGUGUGCCAGCACCAGUGAGGGGAUAGACUGGAGCAGCUGCCUUCCCCAGGGCCAAGCCAUUAUCGCCCAACUACAGAAAAACCCAGAUCUUCCUGCUGAAUGAUGGCUGAAGAGAGCAAGCACCAUCCCACACACAUCACUCCAGGCACUGUGAAAAGUACUUCUGGUCUUUGGUCCUGUUCUGGGGAGCUCACAUGUGACCCAGGUGUAAUUACAGCCCUCUCAGCCAGCACUGGUGGGAUCUGUGCUGGGACACCUGCGAGCUGGAACGUGUCUCACAGGUUGGAAAAAGUGCUUUAUAGCUACAUGAAAGGGACUGUGCCUAAGCCUGGAAUUACUGACAUCUGUGUAUCAUUUCAGUGGUAA
rnacentral:lncRNA from 1 species